CCUCCAGGCCCUACUUGAACAGACCCCUAGUCUGAACUUGAGGAAGAGAGAGACUUCCCUUCUAAAGACGUCUGGCCUUCCAGCGGGAGAUCCAGCCACCUCUUGGGAUGCACACGUUUCUCUUCAACUGCAUGAUGUGAACUGCGUCACAUGUGAAUUAUCAACAGGAACUACCUAGAGAAACCUGUAACUUCAGAUCUUCUGAUUAAUUGAUUUUCUUUGGGUGCUGCUUGACAGUAACAGAAUGGUCCAUGGGGAG